rnacentral:tRNA from 2 species
GGAGGGAUUCCCGAGUGGCUAAAGGGGGCAGACUGUAAAUCUGUUGGCUCAGCCUUCGAAGGUUCGAAUCCUUCUCCCUCCA